AUGGCGAGGAAGUUGGAGCACAGUUGCUCAAGCUGGAUCACUAUCUUUGCAGGGACAUAUGGCUACAUAGCACCAGAAUUGUCAUCUACCAAUGUGUUGACUGAGAAAUGUGACGUGUACAGCUUCGGCGUGGUUGCACUCGAAGUAUUGAUGGGAAAGCACCCAGGUGAUCUGCUCCUUCCAUUCUUUGGCCAAACAGAGCAGCCGGCAAAGCUCAAGGACAUCCUGGAUCGACGGAUCAUAGCACCGUCGACUGUCGAUGAGGAGAAAAAUGUCAUCCUGGUUGCUUUGAUGGCCUUUGCUUGUCUGCAAGUCUCUCCAAAAGCCCGGCCAACAAUGCAGCAGGUAUACCAGGCCCUCACAAGUAGAAGCCAUCCAGAGCUCAUGCUUAGGCCCCUUCAUGAAAUCAGGCUGCAAGAUUUGCAUGAUUUUUGUGGCACCAUAAAAAAUAUAUGA
rnacentral:rRNA from 1 species